rnacentral:snoRNA from 2 species
CCCCUCUCAGGAUCGCACCUGGAGAGUUUCCAGUACUCUACCAGUCUUGGCUACAGGAGGGAGAGUCAAGCAGAGGCAGACCCAUUCUAUUCCUAGUUUGGGCACUUGCUAGUGAGACCCAUUCUAUUCCUAGUUUGGGCAGUUGCUAGUGAGUGGAAGGCAAUCUGCUACAAGU